rnacentral:piRNA from 1 species
UCUUCACCUGAGCAUUCUACUUUGUUGAC